rnacentral:rRNA from 1 species
UACGGAGGAUGCGAGCGUUAUCCGGAUUUAUUGGGUUUAAAGGGUGCGCAGGCGGCACGGCAAGCCGGCGGUCAAAUCGCGGGGCUCAACCACGCCCAGCCGUCGGAACUGCCGGGCUAGAGUGGGCGAGAAGUGCGCGGAAUGCGUGGUGUAGCGGUGAAAUGCAUAGAUAUCACGCAGAACUCCGAUUGCGAAGGCAGCGCACCGGCGCCCUACUGACGCUCAGGCACGAAAGCGUGGGUAUCGAACAGG